rnacentral:rRNA from 1 species
UACGGGAGGCAGCAGUGGGGAAUAUUGGGCAAUGGGCGAAAGCCUGACCCAGCGACGCCGCGUGAGGGAAGAAGGUCUUCGGAUUGUAAACCUCUUUCGGCAGGGAAGAAGGAAGUGACGGUACCUGCAGAAGAAGUCACGGCUAACUACGUGCCAGCAGCCGCGGUAAU